AGAGUUUGAUUCUGGCUCAGGACGAACGCUGGCGGCGUGCUUAACACAUGCAAGUCGAACGAGAAUCUGUGGAUCGAGGAUUCGUCCAAGUGAAGCAGAGGACAGUGGCGGACGGGUGAGUAACGCGUGAGGAACCUGCCUUUCAGAGGGGGACAACAGUUGGAAACGACUGCUAAUACCGCAUGAUACGUAUUGGGGGCAUCCCUGAGACGUCAAAGAUUUAUCGCUGAAAGAUGGCCUCGCGUCUGAUUAGCUGGUUGGUGAGGUAACGGCCCACCAAGGCGACGAUCAGUAGCCGGACUGAGAGGUUGACCGGCCACAUUGGGACUGAGAUACGGCCCAGACUCCUACGGGAGGCAGCAGUGGGGAAUAUUGGGCAAUGGGCGCAAGCCUGACCCAGCAACGCCGCGUGAAGGAAGAAGGCUUUCGGGUUGUAAACUUCUUUUAAGAGGGAAGAGCAGAAGACUGUACCUCUAGAAUAAGCCACGGCUAACUACGUGCCAGCAGCCGCGGUAAUACGUAGGUGGCAAGCGUUGUCCGGAUUUACUGGGUGUAAAGGGCGUGCAGCCGGGAAUGCAAGUCAGAUGUGAAAUCCAUGGGCUUAACCCAUGAACUGCAUUUGAAACUGUAUUUCUUGAGUACUGGAGAGGCAAUCGGAAUUCCUAGUGUAGCGGUGAAAUGCGUAGAUAUUAGGAGGAACACCAGUGGCGAAGGCGGAUUUGCUGGACAGCAACUGACGGUGAGGCGCGAAAGUGUGGGGAGCAAACAGGAUUAGAUACCCUGGUAGUCCACACC
rnacentral:rRNA from 1 species